rnacentral:rRNA from 1 species
ACAGGGAUUGCCCUAGUAACGGCGAGUGAAGCGGCAACAGCUCAAAUUUGAAAUCUGGCUCUUUUAGAGUCCGAGUUGUAAUUUGCAGAGGGCGCUUUGGCUUUGGCAGCGGUCCAAGUUCCUUGGAACAGGACGUCACAGAGGGUGAGAAUCCCGUACGUGGUCGCUGGCUAUUGCCGUGUAAAGCCCCUUCGACGAGUCGAGUUGUUUGGGAAUGCAGCUCUAAAUGGGAGGUACAUUUCUUCUCAAGCUAAAUAUUGGCCAGAGACCGAUAGCGCACAAGUAGAGUGAUCGAAAGAUGAAAAGCACUUUGGAAAGAGAGUCAAACAGCACGUGAAAUUGUUGAAAGGGAAGCGCUUGCAGCCAGACUUGCUUGCAGUUGCUCAUCCGGGCUUUUGCCCGGUGCACUCUUCUGUAGGCAGGCCAGCAUCAGUCUGGGCGGUAGGAUAAAGGUCUCUGUCACGUACCUCUCUUCGGAGAGGCCUUAUAGGGGAGACGACAUACUACCAGCCUGGACUGAGGUCCGCGCAUCUGCUAGGAUGCUGGCGUAAUGGCUGUAAGCGGCCCGUCUUGAAACACGGACCAAGGAGUCUAACAUCUAUGCGAGUGUUUGGGUGUCAAGCCCGAGCGCGUAAUGAAAGUGAACGGAGGUGGGACCCCGCAAGGGUGCACCAUCGACCGAUCCUGAUGUCUUCGGAAGGAUUUGAGUAAGAGCAUGGCUGUUGGGACCCGAAAGAUGGUGAACUAUGCUUGAAUAGGGUGAAGCCAGAGGAAACUCUGGUGGAGGCUCGCAGCGGUUCUGACGUGCAAAUCGAUCGUCAAAUUUGGGCAUAGGGGCGAAAGACUAAU